CCCUAUGGGGUGCGACCAUCUGAUAGACUUCGUGUAUCCUCAGAUCGCGACGAACGAUUUUACAAGCCCCCCCCUCACGUCGUGCCAUGGGCUUGCGACCGGUUCAUCGCCCUGGUCCAAGACUAGGGAAAAUCCGGUAGGAAAGACACGGAGUUAACCCCGUCGAGGCGGGGUAGCAAGGUGGUGCGAAUUCGGCCACCGUCGAGAUCCGUGAAGCGAAAAUUGCGCACAACCAGGAGGAAAUAGAACCAGAAACCGGAGGCGGCGUCCCCGAUAGAGCCAAGAAUGGCCUGGGGCUCAGCCGAAACAACGACUGCGGAAUUCAAGCCAAUGUUCUGGGAGGAACGCAUGGCGACGCACGCACGACGCAACGGUCUCGAUGCCGCGCUGGCGGGGGAGC
rnacentral:rRNA from 1 species